rnacentral:tRNA from 1 species
GGUGGGGUGGCAGAGCGGCCGAACGCGCCUGCCUUGAGAGCAGGUCCCGCCGUGAGGCGGUUCAUGGGUUCAAAUCCCAUCCCCACCG